rnacentral:lncRNA from 1 species
AUUCGGAAGGCGGUCGACCACCGUAAAAACUUGGAUGGAGUCUGGUUACUGUAGAAGUCCUGUUGCUAGAGAAGCUCGGACAUUGAUGAAGUCCAGAAAGAGUUCGGAGUAAAGUCGAUCGUGGCAGGAAGAAGUCUGGAGGAGAUUCGGAGAGUAGUCGAUCACUGUAGAAAAUUGGCUGAUAGUGAAGCCUAGAGAGCAUUUGGAGCGGUCUGAUAGAUGAAUGAAGGAGCUUAUUAUUGGAGAAGUCCAGAUGGCACGAUAGGAGUUCGUCCGUUGGAGGAAUCUGGAGUUCACUGUGGAAGGUCGACUGCUGGGGGAGUUUGGAUGGUACUGUGGAAGCUCGGACAGUCGGAGGAGUUCAGAAAGAUGCCGUACGAGGUUGGAGGUCGGAAGAGUCCUGGGAGGGUCGGCCUCUUACGAACUUCGGUUGGGAUUAUUUUAUACCCAACAAGACCUAAUUAAAUAUAGAUAUGAUCUACACUUGCUGAAUUUUAGAUUUUAGAUUUAUAUACAUGUAUAUUUGUCCAUAUCAUAGAUCCUGUAUGAUAGUUUUAGAUUUGAUCUAUGCAUCAUUAUAGAUUAAAUUAUUUAAUCUAU